ACUCCUCGAAUUCUCAGAACUCUUCUCGUUUUUUUUUUUCACUCUCAAAACUCUCUUGGUCGCUAUCCCUCCUGCUGCUCUCGAUUUUUCUUCAAUCCAUAGAGAAUUCAAGCGAGUUUUCAUAGAAACCGUUAAUUUCUUUUGGAUUCAGGGUUGAUUUCUGAAAACAACUCGAAGAAGAAUAAGCAGAAGAAGAAGAAGAAGAAGAAGAAGAAGAAGAAGAAGAAGAAGAAGGAGGUGAAGCAGGUGAAGGAGGAGGAGGAAAUUUACUUCGAAUUAGUUCAAACUUGAUCAGGUUGUAGAUGCUUUGUAUGAUUGCAAGAGUGAGGUGAUUGGACCUGGAUUCUUUAGGUUUAAAGCUGAAAUAGAUUUCAACGGUGUGGUGGUGGUACAAAAUUAUUUGGAAAGGACUGGACGUGGAGAAUGGGAGAAACAGGCAUCCAUUUGAUUCAUCAAAAUGCGGUUGAAUUUGUCACUUUUAAAGGAUGGUGUUUUGGAGCCAAGUCGGAUUGUUGAGCCUCUGGAAGCUUCAUAUGAUGAUUUCUUAGUGAUUCAUGUUCAUUGACAUCCAGGUUAUGCUAUGCACAUGUUGGGACAACAGCAGAGAUAUGGGGAAGGAGAUGGUAAUGGUCCCCGAAACAUGGAUGGUCUUGCAAAGACACCUGAAUUUCAUAUUGCAUGCAUAUUUCCGGUACAAGAAUCUACUAGGCAAGAGCUGCUAGAGAUUGAUGGAGGCUCCUGCAGACUUUGACGAGAAAUCGGGUUACUUGGGUGUUUUAGUCGUGUCUGCUGCAGAAGUUGCCAGAAGGAACUCGGGAAGUCAGCUCGUCAGGCUCUUGAUUAGAACUUGCCUAAGACCAUCUAGGCUCAAUCAGGUGCAGUUUGAUCUUUCCUUCGUGUUAUGAAAAUCUUGCGCAGAAUGUUGCUUACUCCCAACACAAUGAUAGCUGCAUGUAUCAAGAGAACAGUAUAGAAUCCUUUCACCUUGUAAUCUAGGGAAGUAGAUAUUGUUCUCCAUGCAGCUCUGUGGGGCGACCACUGAGAAACUGGAUGUAUAGCUGAUGCACAGCGCAGGCUUACCCAAACUGUUCAGUUUUACCCAGAUCAUCUGCAUAUCAUCCAAUCUAUAAAUAUCGGCCGAUUUUCCACUCGGUCCUAAAUCCA